AACGAACGCUGGCGGCAUGCCUAACACAUGCAAGUCGAACGAGACCUUCGGGUCUAGUGGCGCACGGGUGCGUAACGCGUGGGAACCUGCCCUUAGGUUCGGAAUAACUCCCCGAAAGGGGUGCUAAUACCGGAUAAUGUCUUCGGACCAAAGAUUUAUCGCCUUUGGAUGGGCCCGCGUUGGAUUAGCUAGUUGGUAGGGUAAAAGCCUACCAAGGCGACGAUCCAUAGCUGGUCGGAGAGGAUGGUCAGCCACACUGGGACUGAGACCCGGCCCAGACUCCUACGGGAGGAGGCAGUGGGGAAUAUUGGACAAUGGGCGAAAGCCUGAUCCAGCAAGGGCGCGUGAGUGAUGAAGGCCUUAGGGUUGUAAAGCUCUUUUACCCGGGAUGAUAAUGACAGUACCGGGAGAAUAAGCUCCGGCUAACUCCGUG
rnacentral:rRNA from 1 species